AUUUGGACUUGGAAAUAACGUUGGUAGUAUAUUAAUUUUCUGUUGUUAGAAUGUUAUUGUUUUAUAUUGUGCCCAACGCUCAUCGCGACAGCCAUGAUGCGUACAUUUACGUACGAUGCGUGAGUGCGUAUACACACGUGUGGAUCGAGCAGUGCGGAGUGCUCUUUAUUUACAGUAUAUUUAUAUAUAACUGUUUGAGUGCGUCGAGAUCAUGAGCAAACGCACGCUUGUUGCGACAGCCAAUCGGAAGCAGUAAUAGUUCUGGAGACUGUAGUCGCAUUAUCUUACAUAUACGUAUGAUGUGUGAGUGUGUCAUAUAUACGUACGUUUGUGCUUGUGCGCUUGUGCGCUGUCGAGAGCUUUUAAUUGUAUACAACAUUUUUAUAUGGGUAGCUGGUGAUUCAAGAUCUAUUUUUCGACCUAUAUAAGAGAGAAAUUUGCAGAAGAAAAAAAAUAUACCAAAGUAUUAAUAAGGAUCGAACAUAUUCUUGAUGUACUCGGGCCACGAGGCUGAGCAAUAUUCUAAGAAAAGUAUUGUACAAGAUACAAAGAUUGGACAAUAUCUCAUCCCUUUAUCUUCCAUUGACAAUUUGAAGAUAUGCUAAAAACUGAUCAAGAAGCUUUCAUGCAAGUUGUGAACAAGGUUAUGUUAAUUGGAGGGAAACAUGAAAAGAAUUUUAUUAGAAGAAGUUUGAGGGCUACAUUUUCUGAUGACUUAGCCUCCAUGUGUUCAUGAACUGGCCAAAAAAAUAAUUAUAAAAUUUAUUGGAGAUACGCACACACAAUUCUGAGCAUUAAAAAAGCUUUUAGAGCAAUAUUCCCUCGGAAUACAGAAAAAGAUUUUCAACACUUUGUAAUGGAGUGGUUCAGAUUCGCAAACGUCCGUAAGGAAAAAAAAACAUUAAAAAGGAAGUGAUAAAUAUAUUAUCUUACUUGCGUGGCUCCGCGCGAGUGAUUAUUAUAGUAACAAAUUUUUUUAUUUGAAAGAUGAGUUUUAUCCCAAAACCUUACGCUAGGAUCAGUGAUCUUCACCAAAGAUAUUAUUGUGAUAAACUGAAAACUGUAAUAUAUGGUAUAUAUUAUUUUUAUAUAAAUAAAACUUUUUUAUGAUAA